rnacentral:ncRNA from 1 species
UGAUAGCUAUGAAGCGUGAGGUUGCAACUCAAUUACGAGUUGGUUUUCCGUGGAGCGAAUGUCAAGUUAGGAAACUGACGACAA